ensembl:lncRNA
UGUCAAGAAGCCUCCAGCGCGCAGGCGCAUCUUGGCCACUUCCUUUGCUUGUUUGCACGCGUGGCCUCUUAGGCCUGGAUCCUCAAGUGGGCGGAUUGUUCUCAGGCUGCUUGUUUCCAUCCAGUGCCCUCACCUGGAAUCUCGGCUCCACCAGACUGUAGUCGUGCUCCAGGACUUUCACCUAGGCCCACCUGUGCCCUACCUUGUCAAAUCCAGUUUUGGCAAGAGCUCUGUGUGGUGCUGCUGCUAAGUCACUUAGGUCGUGUCCGACUCUGUGCAACCCCAUAGACGGCAGCCCACCAGGCUCCCCCGUCCCUGGGAUUCUCCAGGCAAGAACACUGGAGUGGGUUGCCAUUUCCUUCUCCAAUGCAUGAAAGUGAAAAGUGAAAGUGAAGUCGCUCAGUCCUGUCCGACCCUUAGCGACCCCAUGGACUGCAGCCCACCAGGCUCCUCCGUCCAUGGGAUUUUCCAGGCAAGAGUACUGCAGUGGGGUGCCACUGCCUUCUAUGUGGAAAUGGCAUCAAUCUACAAAUAAUAUACAUCUUGCCUGCGUUAUUCAGCAGAAGAGCCAUGACACUGAUGCUCUUUCUAAAAUGGCUCUUCCUUCAAAGAUGUUUCCAUGUGAUCUGUACUUUUGAGGCACCUGGGAUCUCUUCAACAGCCAUGAGAUGCAUUGCUGUGUUUGGCCUGAAAGAUAAUGCUUAUUAGAACUAAAGCACAAUAGAAAAGAAGGUGACUGAGCAACAUUGUAUGAUGCAAACCAAGAAUGCUUUCCUGAGGUGCAAGGUGCUUUCCUGAGGCAGAUAUUAUACCAUGUGAAGAUGGGAGAGAUUAUACCCAUGACAUUAAGGAUACUGGUCACGUAAUGUUAUCAGAAGACAUUCUUCUGAUUAACCCUCCUUAACUUCCCUUACUCAUGAGAUGUUUCUAUAAUUUUAAUUAUAAUGUGUUUCAUCAUUAUCUGGAUAGUUCCUUGGGGAGAUGCUCUCAAUGUGUGCCGUGUUCAAGAUUCUAUUAUAAAUAGUGAGGAAUUAUCAUUUUCUUCUUGGUGCUGAAGGCACUGCAGACUGGGUCUAAGUGAAGGCAAUGCCAAAUUUCACAGAUGUGACAGAAUUUGUUCUUCUGGGUUGACCAGUCGUCAGGAGCUUCAGGGUCUCUUUUUUGUGGUGUUUCUAGUAGUUUACAUGAUCACUCUGAUAUGGAACAUUGGUAUGAUUACUUUGAUCAGCAUCAGCCUCCAGCUUCAGAGCUCCAUGUAAUUUUUCUUGAGUCAUUUGUCUUUUGUGGAUGUGUGGUUCUCUUCCAAUGUCACUCUGAAGAUGCUGGAAAACUUACUAUGAGGCAAAAACCAUUUCCUAUGUGGGGUGUUUGGUGCAGCAUUACUUCUUCGCAGCCCUUGUCCACGUGGAAGUAUGUAUCUUGGCUGUGAUGGCCUUUAAUCACUACAUGACCAUCUGCAACCCUCUGCUUUAUGGCAGUAAAAUGUCCAGGACUGUCUGUGCUCGUCUCAUCUCUGUGACAUACAUCUAUGGAUUCUCUGUCAGCCUAAACUGCACACUGUGGACAUAUGGCCUGUGCUUCUGUGGAAACUUUGAAAUCAACGACUUCUAUUGUGUUGACCCUGCUAUUAUCAAGAUUGCCUGUGGAG